CGAACGGACGAGAAGCUUGCUUCUCUGAUGUUAGCGGCGGACGGGUGAGUAACACGUGGAUAACCUACCUAUAAGACUGGGAUAACUUCGGGAAACCGGAGCUAAUACCGGAUAAUAUUUUGAACCGCAUGGUUCAAAAGUGAAAGACGGUCUUGCUGUCACUUAUAGAUGGAUCCGCGCUGCAUUAGCUAGUUGGUAAGGUAACGGUUACCAAGGCAACGAUGCAUAGCCGACCUGAGAGGGUGAUCGGCCACACUGGAACUGAGACACGGUCCAGACUCCUACGGGAGGCAGCAGUAGGGAAUCUUCCGCAAUGGGCGAAAGCCUGACGGAGCAACGCCGCGUGAGUGAUGAAGGUCUUCGGAUCGUAAAACUCUGUUAUUAGGGAAGAACAUAUGUGUAAGUAACUGUGCACAUCUUGACGGUACCUAAUCAGAAAGCCACGGCUAACUACGUGCCAGCAGCCGCGGUAAUACGUAGGUGGCAAGCGUUAUCCGGAAUUAUUGGGCGUAAAGCGCGCGUAGGCGGUUUUUUAAGUCUGAUGUGAAAGCCCACGGCUCAACCGUGGAGGGUCAUUGGAAACUGGAGAACUUGAGUGCAGAAGAGGAUAGUGGAAUUCCAUGUGUAGCGGUGAAAUGCGCAGAGAUAUGGAGGAACACCAGUGGCGAAGGCGACUUUCUGGUCUGUAACUGACGCUGAUGUGUGAAAGCGUGGGGAUCAAACAGGAUUAGAUACCCUGGUAGUCCACGCCGUAAACGAUGAGUGCUAAGUGUUAGGGGGUUUCCGCCCCUUAGUGCUGCAGCUAACGCAUUAAGCACUCCGCCUGGGGAGUACGACCGCAAGUGAA
rnacentral:rRNA from 1 species